AUGCCUAAUGUCUCUCUCUCUGUGUCUCUCUCUCUCUCUCUCUCUCUCUCUCUCUUAGGAGACAUUGUGUUUGUGUCAGUGUGGGUUUUGGAGAUUAUUAUUCUGCUGUCAUUGUUAGGAGGCUUUCACAUCUACGCCAGAAUCCAAAGAAAACAGAGCAAGAGAGCAGCAGAAAGAAGAGGAGAACCUGGAACAAGAAGACAGAGAGCAUCAUUACAGGAGAUAAACCAUCUCACACAACUGGAACAAUCAGCAAAAUACAACCGUCAGUAGAGAAAAAAAGAAAACAGGCUGAGGUCAUUCUGAUAAUUAAGGACACUGGUGGACUGAAUUGACAAUAAAAAUUUGCCCAUCCAACUAACAAAUCAUUUAGCCUUGUGAAUUGAAUGUAACUGUAGACAAAGCACUUUUAGUGAUUGUCUUUGAUUGAAAGGUCUACAUGAAACUUGCUUUAAUUAGCAGAGUCCAGUCAUCACUGAAAGUAAGUAUGGCCUUCAAUAGUUUAAAAAACACAUCUCUUUACAUGGAUCCUUCACAAAGAACAUAUGAGGUCAGAAUUCCAUUGACAGUCCAUAGAAAGAUUCUUCACUCCAUGCAUAAUGCGACAGGUAUGGAAACUGGUAUCUCUCUUGGCACUGCUUUGCUUGCCUUUACCCCUUCUGGCUGGCAUUUGCUCCAAGGAACUCGGGAUGUGUGGCUGUGAAAGCUGGCCCAUGGUACAUGCAGAUGCUCCUAAAAAUGACUUUUUGUUAAUGUCAUUGUUUGUUCAUUUAAAAGUAUGUAUAUCUAUUUACUGUGUUAUUCUGUGUCCAGGGGUUUGAGUGUUUCAUGUUGAGGUUUGACGACCAUGAGUUCAAUGCUUUGUAUGUGCCUUUCUGCCCUGGGGAUUAAUAAAGAGCACUUCUUGUGGUGAAAUCAUCCACUGUGUCUUGAUCU
ensembl:lncRNA